GUGAGUGGAGGGUAUCUGGAACGGGAUCUAGAUCGGGGGAGAGGAAGGGGGCAGGCUAGGGUUUCCGAGAUUAGAACCGGGUGAGGGAAGUCUGAUCAUGAUUCCCGUGAAAUGAAAUGACUAUGGUCCAAUCACAAUGCAAAUGAAAUGACUAUGGUCCAAUCAGAAUGUAUUAUGCGUGUGCGAUGUUAUGAUCAUUUAAAAUUGGUUGAUUAAAAAAAAG
rnacentral:lncRNA from 1 species